GCGGUUAAAAAGCUCGUAGUUGGAUUUCUGUUGAGAGCGGGCGGUCCACCUUUUGGGUGAGUAUCUGCAUUGAUCUCGGCAUCUUCUUGGGAAACGUUCUUGCGCUUGAUUGCGUGAGGCGGUGCCCAGGACUUUUACUUUGAGGAAAUUAGAGUGUUCACGGCAGGCAUACGCCCUGAAUAUAUUAGCAUGGAAUAAUGAUAUAGGAUUUUGGUCCUAUUUUGUUGGUUUCUA
rnacentral:rRNA from 1 species